GACGAACGCUGGCGGCGUGCUUAACACAUGCAAGUCGAAAGAAGUGGCGAACGGGUGAGUAACGCGUAAUCAACCUGCCCUUCAGAGGGGGAAAACAGUUGGAAACGACUGCUCAUCCCCCAUAGUGAAGGAGGGGAGUGCGUCUGAUUAGCUCGUUGGUGGGGUAACGGCCCACCAAGGCGAUGAUCAGUAGCCGGUCUGAGAGGAUGAACGGCCACAUUGGGACUGAGACACGGCCCAGACUCCUACGGGAGGCAGCAGUGGGGAAUCUUCCGCAAUGGACGAAAGUCUGACGGAGCAAGGCCGCGUGAGUGAUGAAGGCCUUCGGGUUGGAAAGCUCUGUUAAUCGGGACGCGGUACCGGAAUAGAAAGCCAGGGCUAACUACGUGCAAGAGCCGCGGUAAUUC
rnacentral:rRNA from 1 species